GGUUGCAAUCGCAUUGUUAUUAAUUCUGAUAAUUUGGAGGUUAUUGAAACGAUGAAUAAUGGCGAACGGUCAGCAGGAGCGGCGACGGCAAUUUUUGAUGAUUGCUAUUUUUUGGCGUGUGAUUUUCCUACCUCUAGGUUUGAACAUUGUAAUAGGGAAGCCAAUAAGGUUGCACACGAGCUUGCUAGGUUGGCUAGAUUUUCGUCGAAGGGCCUAUGA
rnacentral:rRNA from 1 species